rnacentral:rRNA from 1 species
GGGAAGUUUUCCGCAAUGGGCGAAAGGCCUGACGGAGCAAUGCCGCGUGGAGGUGGAAGGCCUACGGGUCGUCAACUUCUUUUCUCGGAGAAGAAACAAUGACGGUAUCUGAGGAAUAAGCAUCGGCUAACUCUGUGCCAG